ACGAAGAUAUUCAUCGGGGAUGCCGUACUCUUCCGAUCUCGUCGGCCCUAUACCCGAUCUAAGCUUCGGCCGAGAAUGGUCUGGAUCCAGAAGACGGUGUUGACAAACCCAUCACUUGUUGAUAGCGCCGGUGAUGACGACUUCCAUAUAGAACCAUUUGGUGUCUUGAUCGGUGUCUGAUCUGGUCAUAUUGGAGUUUGAUCUUUAUGCGAUGUGCCUGUGUGAGAGCGUGAUGGAAGAAGAGAGGAGGAAGAGAGGCG
rnacentral:lncRNA from 1 species